rnacentral:lncRNA from 1 species
GGAGAUAUGAGACAUGAUGAGCUGUUGUUGUCUUAAGCCACAGGGUUUGGAGGUGGCUUGUUCCGCAGCACUGGAUAACAAAACAUGCUGAGACUUGGUAUCGUGGAAGUUAGCCCGGCCAAAUGGAGAACACGUGAGAGGCGUGAGAUGGCACAGCGAUCUGGAUUCUGUAUAGGAGGCUGAAUAGGAGACUGGGAGUAUAGGUCGGGGAGAGGCAUUUACUGGAACUGGAGGUCGGCCAAGUCUAGAUCAGAGCAGUUGAAGACUGUGGAAGCAAUGUGACCAGCAUCUAAGUUCCUGACGCCUUGACUUAACCCAGGAUGAACAAUACCCUAAGCCAUACAACCAAACUAAAAAGUAAGAUGAGGCAGCGCUGGAAAAAAAGUUCAAAUUGAUCCACGGUCAAUGGACUCAGGGUUGCGCAUCAAAUUCAAAACACACUUUGGGAUUGCGGAACAACAUCCAGCUUUCCCAAAGGCUGAUGACAAUGGAGGAAAAGGUCUGUGAAGAUUCCGUCAUCAUUUCAACAAGAUUUAAAUUGAUGUGGAGACAAACUGCUUUUUGUUUUAAAUGGUGAAAACAUUUUCCCUGGAGACACAGGUUGAAUAAUAAGGGUUUCUCAGUGGUGCCCGUAAAUGAACAAGUUCUACUCUGGCUGUCAGUGAGCUUAACGGGCACAGGUUGUCAUUCGCAUGUUCUUGGCCUUUAUUCUGUGAAUCUACUCCAUCCCACAACCAACAGAAGGGCCUCCUAAUGCCUCUUCUUUCCCAGGCCAACAGCCUUUAACUCGGGGGCAAGGCUUUCAUCAUUCCUGAGUGCGCUGAGACACCGAGUCGGCUGAGCUCAUUUAGCCCAGUGGAGUACGGAGUCAAUGAAGUCAAAGCCAUUGACUCAGCCUUUAUUCAAUCUCGCUACCCCCAUCCUCCUAUGUGUUAACUAAAUGCAUCCCCAUUGAACAUAUCCCGACUGGCACUGUAAAUCCAUUAGUCACUAGAACAAAAGGGUAGGUUGGAUACGGAUGGAGACAGACUGACUGUCCUGAAAUCCUAUCUCUGGCAUUCUAUAGCUCUGUGAACUUGGGGAGAUUACUUAAUUUCCUUGUCAUAAAAUAAGACUUAAUAUAGCCACUACUUCUGGGAUUUUAUAUGAUUUAAUAAAACUAUCCAUAUAAAGUGUUUCCCAUGGUAGCCACAU